GAAAUAUGCUGUCAUACAAUGCUUAAAUUCACUUGUUCUAUCAAGUACAAAAACUCGGAUUUAGAAAGCAGUAUGUAGCAUUUUGAAUUUGAUCAUUUCUUUUCAAACAUUGUUGUAAAUGUUGUCUGUAAUAUAUUGUGAACUCAAAGCAGUACUGCUCUCUAAAAACAGCAUUGUAUUACAUAUGAAGGUGUAAAGGUUACAGUUAAAGCACCAAAACAACUCAGUUAAGCAGUUUUUGGUGUGUAUAUCAUGCCUCUAGAGUCAACACUGCUCAAUUCUCUGCCAUUUAUUUAUGAAGCACUAGCCACACUUUCCCUGGUUGUCACUCACAAAGCCUCCAUGACAAACAAGAUUUUAUUUUAAAUCAGAUCUUACAUCACAGUGUGUUUCCCUUAUUGUCAUGGGCGUCCGCAGGGAGGGGUAAGGGGGGGCACUUGCCCCACCCCCCUGUAUUUUUCAGCUUGUUCUGCUAUUUUUCGUGUGAUUGAAAAUGAACUGCAAUACCGGCCAGUAGGUGGCGCUGUGUAUAGAGAGAGACAGGGAUAGGAAGCUGCAUCUUAUCCCUGCUUCUCUCUGCUGUUUGAGACCGCAGGGGAACAACACAUGCAGCCAGAGACAG